AUACGGAGGGGGCAAGCGUUGUUCGGAAUUACUGGGCAUAAAGCGCGCGUAGGCGGGCUGGUUAGUUGGGGGUGAAAUCCCAGGGCUUAACCCUGGAACUGCCUUCAAUACUGCCAGUCUAGAGUUCGAGAGAGGUGAGUGGAAUUCCUAGUGUAGAGGUGAAAUUCGUAGAUAUUAGGAAGAACACCAGUGGCGAAGGCGGCUCACUGGCUCGAUACUGACGCUGAGGUGCGAAAGCGUGGGGAGCAAACAGGAUUAGAAACCCUGGUAGUCC
rnacentral:rRNA from 1 species